UACGUAGGGUCCGAGCGUUGUCCGGAAUUAUUGGGCGUAAAGGGCUCGUAGGCGGUUCGUCACGUCGGGAGUGAAAACUCGGGGCUUAACCCCGAGCCUGCUUCCGAUACGGGCAGACUAGAGGUAGGCAGGGGAGAGCGGAACUCCUGGUGUAGCGGUGGAAUGCGCAGAUAUCAGGAAGAACACCGGUGGCGAAGGCGGCUCUCUGGGCCUUACCUGACGCUGAGGAGCGAAAGCGUGGGUAGCAAACAGG
rnacentral:rRNA from 1 species